CGGGCGGGGAAGAAGGACCCUUGGCUGACGAGGGCAGCAAGCCCGCCUGGGAGGUGCCCAAGUGCCUCACUGAAGAACGAUGAAAAUCACCAUGAUGGCAGCAGAGUGGCACAGAAGACGCAGGUGCUCCCCUCUUGGUUUCUGAACACUGAUCUGAUCUGAGGAGCCCAGAGCGGUGUGCUACAUACUUACGUUUCUCCUCACAACAACAACCCUGUGAGGUAGGUGAGGCUGAGAGGGAAGUGACCCAGAGUCCCCCAGAGUCAGAAGCACAGCAUUGGAGGCUGGGCUGGGCCUGCUUCCGCCCACUGGAUUGCAGCUUUUCUGCUGCUCCGGCAGGAAACGACUCAAGGCUUGAUUGUCUGGAAGAACGUUGCAGAGAAGAGAAUAGCAACUCCAUCCAAACCAUCAUUUUUAUUGAUUCUCUCCAGGAAAAAACUUCAUGGUCUCUUUCUUUCCCCCUGCUGUUUGCUUAGAACAUUUUCAUUUUAUUCAAUUGGCCUUUUAAAACUAUAUUGCACGCCAUCUUGGCCAGUUAUAUGCAGAGUACUGAGCCAUCUUUAGCAUCCCUUCCACAGGGACAACUGACAGCAGAAUAGCUUUGUUGGUCUGUUGUAGAAAAACCCACCCAAGGAUCUGAUGAGCAGAAUCUGGCCUGAGACAGUCCAUGGAACUACUACAAGUGUGUUUGAGGUGCCACAAGACAGCUCUCUGGUGUUUCCUUCAGCCUCUGUUUCUCUGUAUUCUGCUGCAGUUGUCUGUCAAGUUGAGGGGUGUGUGUGUGUGUGUGUGUGUGUGUGUGUGUGUGUGUGUGUGUGUGUGCAGAGUGAUAUAAACACACAUGUCCAAGCAACAAAGACUCUCCUAUUAAGCAGAAAUCAGUGAAUAUAGGGUGGGUGAAACAGGUUAAAUGUUUGACCAUCCACGGAAAAAUGUUGAUGUUGAGAGCCAAAUUGCCAUGGCUGGUUUAGACUUCGACAUGAAGCCACUGAUGCCGAAUAACAGCUGCAAGCUUCUGCAGAGGUUGUGCACAAGUCAUAUCUUUGAAAAAUAUUUUGUCACCUGAAGGGAGCAUCUUGGGUGCAUGCCACUUUUGGCCAAAGAGCACUCAUGAAGAGGAUGACUGAAGCAAAACUUGUGCUGUACUAUUACUCGAAUUCAUAAAUGUCAACUUAGCACUGGCCCAAACCAGACAGAUACCAUGUGAAAGACACAGAGAGACUCUGGCAAGUUGGGGUCAAAGUCACUCUACAUUUUGCAGGAGAU